UGGGAGCACAGGUGAAGGCAAUUCAGCUGUGUGAUAGGAAGGGGAGGAGCCUGGUUGCACCUCUCUUAGACCUCAUUGAGGGGCUGGCUGCUACUGGAGAAGGAGCUCUAGUUGGAGAUCCUUCUUUGGUGAAGCUUUCCCCUGCAAACCUGGAAUCUUCUGAUAUGGGAGUCAGAGAGGUCACACAUGCUCGUUGUUAUGCUCCUCAAGUUCCCAGCCAAAUGUGCUGGCAGAAUAAAGCUCUCCCAAGUGUUCCCGCACUGCAGAGAUCCUCUCAGUCUUGUUCCUUCAGCUUGCACUGUUCAAGCUUAUCACAAGGGAAAAGACCCAGGUAUUGCAUAGGAGUGAUCACCACUCACAGGGAAUGUGUCUGGUGUCAGUGGUUGACCGGAAUAUAGAAGAAAAAAAAAAGACUGUAACGGGGGUGAAACUUCAGUCUUCAUCACAGAUGAUGUGAACUCUGAGUUGAAAAUCUGCUGCUCCUCAGAAAAUGAGUGGCUGUUUGAUCAUCGUUCUUAUCUCCAAGAUAUGUUUGAGAUUUUCCACUGACCUCACAGCUUCUUCAGGCAGCUGGCUCAGCUUGCCCUUCAGUGGAGUGACUUCUUAUUUAUCAGCUCAUUGUCAAAGGAUUUACAAAGAGCUUAUGCCAGAGGCCAAAGGGUGAACACCCAGAAACAUAGGCUAUUCUGUCAGUAUCCCUACCGGGUGAAUCUUCUGUGGCCUUUGGCUUUUGAAGUAACCUGAACAUGUCAGAGGGAAGCAAGCACAUCUCAUCUGUGAAUUUGAGACAUGUAGUAUGAAAGUGACUAUCUGCUGUCCUUUGGUGGAUCUUGAGUAGGAAGUUUAGUGUUCAGUUGCUUGCAGCUCCUGUCUCUCUUGCUAUCUGUAAUCCUCUGGUAAACAUAAAGCUUGUGUUGUUAUUGAGGUUGGAGAAACAGGUAAGCAAGAGGCAAUGAGAAGAACCUGCUUGCUGUAGAUUGUGUAGUUUCCUGCCCUACCAUUGAGAAAUACUUGAAAAAGCUCAGUCUUCCAAAGUGAUUGUUGAAACUCUUGGUGGUAUACAAAGGGGACCCACAGGAACAGCCCUGGUGAAAUGGAAAUUUGAGGCCUGUCAAAUACUCAGCAAAUGCAACAACUGAAUAGCCUGGGUAAUUGCUGGAGAGGAGCUGUAACUUCUUACCUGAAAAAGGGCAAAGAUUGGAUAAGAGCUGCUGCUUCAAGGUGUUCCUCUUCACCCUGAGCUAAGUGUGAUCAGAAAAACAUAUUAGUUUGUCUUCCUCAUCAUUCAUUUCUUGAAAAAUGAUUACAAUGGAUUGAUCCUCUACAAUGCUUUGAACAUAUUAUUCAAAAGCCAAAGCCCAUCAGGCAUGCUGUUGCCUUUUUCUCUUGUAAAAAAAAAAAGUCACAUCUGAGUAGAUGCUCAUCAGAAUCUUCAGUUGGUGUUGUAGAACUUGCUGAUUCUCAAGUGACUAUGAGAUAAAGGAAGAUAAAGGAAAAUAAGAAGGGUUUUUUAAAGUAUGUUAACGGUGAAAGGAAGAGUAGGGAUAACGUGGGUCCCCUGCUGAACGAGGGAGGUAUCCUGGUAACGGGGGAUGCUGAGAAGGUGGAGAUGCUGAACACCUUCUUUGCUUUGGUCUUUGCUUCAAAGACUCCCCCUCAAGACUCCUGGGCACUGGAGGGAAGAGAGAGAGUCUGGGAAAUGGGGAGCUUCCCUCAGGUUGAAGAGGGGAUGGUCUGGGAGCAUCUAGGUGGAAUCAAUUUGCACAAAUCCAUGGGCCCAAAUGGAGUACAUCCAUUUGUCCUGAUGGUGCUGACAGAGGUGAUUGCUGAACUGCUUUCUAUUAUCUUUGAAAGGUUUUGGAAAAAGAAGACUGGAGGAUAGCCAAUGACACUCUGGUCUUCAAAAAGGGCAAGAAGGAGAAACUACAGGCCAGUCAGC